AUAUUCAUAUUUAUUUUAAAUGAAUACGGAUACAAUUCGAAUACUGAAAAUAUGGAUAUAAUUAUAGAUAUAACUUAAAUAAUUAAACUUUAUGAGUACAUAAUCAAAAACACUAUAAAUAGAUGAUAAAUCAAACUAAUAAUAUAUUUAUAUAAUUAUAUUUUUUUAAAAAAAUUAAUAAGUACUAUAUAAAAUUAUACAUGAUUAUAUGUUGAUUUGGAUAUUUGGAUAC
rnacentral:lncRNA from 1 species